GGGGGCGUCAUGGUUUCGACGGGGGAAGCGGUGGCAGGAGGAGCGAGCCGGGGUGUCCAUCAGCCCGCAAAACGGUGGAAAAAAUAUAAUUGCCAAUAACGAAUACGCCUUAGCAGCUUAAUUGCUGUCUAACCUUCUACCCGCGUUGGGCCCGUGGCCCGGGCUAGAGGGUCAUUUAAACGGGCUGGCUUAAGUCCAAUUCUCGGAGGGUUUAAGCAAGACUGAUCGAGAUAGUCCCAAGGGAGCCCGGCUGUAGGCGCCCGCGGAACGAAACCUAAACUGCAGCCUGCGCUCGGAGAAACUCCUGUGGUCGGUCUUCCGGACGGUGGGUUCGAUUCCCCCCGCCUCCACCA
rnacentral:tmRNA from 1 species